rnacentral:lncRNA from 1 species
AGGCUAAAGGGAAUAUAAGUCUUGCGUGUGCAGUUAACAUUUUAAAGAAAGCGAUUAUACAAGGGGAUUCACUGAGACUAAAAACGCUAGGAUUAUAAAUCUGCUAUUCCAUUCACAACGCCAGAUACUUAAAAAAAUUAAAUUCUAAGGCAAUAUUCUAGUGGGGAGACCACAAUUUUUAAUAAUUUGAAUCAGGCGCAGUUACUCACUUCACAAAAUUGACCAUCUGUCAAAUUAAACUAUUCGGUAGUUUCAAACGACAAAAUGCGAGAUAUCAAACUUUGGAGGGAAUAACACAAUGAUGAUAUUACGAGUACAGUAGAAAACUUUUCAACAAUUUGCGUACUCGGAAAGUAAAGAGUCUCAGUAUUUUUUUCUCUCCACAUCUACUAAGGGCACAAGAAAUGGAAACAGUGAAAUGGUUUUUAAAACUGCUCAAAGAGUGAACCUUUCCACGGUAGACUAAAUGCUGAUUCAAAUAAUCCAAAACGAUUUUCACUAAACUCUAGUUUCUCUGUCCUGCAACGAAAAGGCCUUUCGGUUUUACGACAGUCUCGGCGGAGAAUGGGGAAAAUUUCUCAAAUUUAUUGUAAACUUAAAAUAAGACAAUAGCCCAUUACAACGAAUAGCAAAUUGCGAAAGAAUAAUUCAUACGACUGCGGCGUUUCCUUCUGUCAAUGUGCUUACUGUAUUUCAAAAGAAGCACAUUCAACUUAUUAAGCAGAACGAGAUGAUAAAGAUCGGACAAAUAAUUAAGAAGAACUUGCAGCAGGGUAACUUCGUGACAGCCUGUUGAUUGAACUAUCGGAAAUUCCAAUUGUUUCAGGAUACAACACUAAGAAUUCGACUUUUCCGUCGCAAGAGGUGGAAAUGGCCAUGUUUUCUCCGUCGCCAAUUCCGGUUAUUCCCCUGGCAACGUUUUUCCUCUUUCAACGAUUCCGGCUGUUGCAGAAUACAGUCCAGCAUGUUCAAAUUACUGUACAACCGAUUCAUAUACGUACCACCUAAGAAAAGAAAGAUUGUAAACGAUAGGGGACACAUGAAAUAUGACUAUCGUUUAACUUAUACAGGUGAGCAUAAAGUAGAAUGGCUUUGUGAAACAGAAAGGUUUCUACAGCAGGUAGGCAAGUCAUUUGCCAAUUCCUAGCAACGUCCCAAUUCAAAUCUACAACGAGACAACGGCUAAUUUACUGAAGGAGUCGACAAGUGGCAUUCUUUAUGAGCUAACCCUAAAUAAGUCCCAGAUUACCCAUUCAAAGAAACGAGAACGGCAGCUGUCGUGCGAGUGGGGGGAUUUAUAGUAAGAUGUCUCUAUGAACGACAGAAAUUACGAAAAUGCAUUGAAAAACUAGAAACAAUCAAUGAAACCAGUCAGCAGAAGAGUUGUUUUUUAAAAUUCGUUUUUGAAACAGAUAGAGGAGAAUAGUUUUACCCGAGUUGGAGUUUUGGUUACCCGCUCGUCACCAUCAAGAAAUUUCAGCGAAAAGUUGUUUCUUUGAUACGCGGGGCAUCACACAUCGUAAAAGAUCUGGUUUAAUUUAUCAGACCACACCUCCUGAAAUGUGUUACAAUGUCUUGUGGUAAAGCCAGAAAAGACUUUUGAUAGUUGGGAAUAAUUUUUAUCGUUCCUCCAAGAACUGGAAACAGUGAAUUAUUACCCCCAAUUCGUUUUUUUUUACAAAAACAAACAGUUGCUUCAUACAAAAAAUCUAAAAGUUUCAAAAUAAAUUAAUAAGUUGAAGUUGAAGUAAUGUAUUCCAGUAAUGGAAUAUUGUGCAGCCUAAAAAUCAUUAUCUUUUAUGUGCGCGGCAACCUCUCGAACCGAAUCCGACUUGUCUCUCCUACUCCCUCCAGCUCCCCUUCCUCGUCCGUCGCCCUCGCCGGCGUGGUCCGCACUGCCAUUCACCCCCUGUCUUCCUCUCAUAUAAAAAAGACAACGAUCCGUGAUCGUUCACUCUACAGCUCUUGAGUAAUCCUUUCCUAGUAAUCAACCCUUUCUCUGUGAUCCCGAAACCCAGAUCAUAACAUCUUGAUGAGAAAUUGGAAUUUAAACAUGAAACUGUUAUUUGCCAGGGUUGGGAACGAUAAUACAAAUAAAAUAUGUUCGAUAUCGAUACCGAUUCUUGGUUUUUUUCAUGUUCGUUAAUCGAACGAUAAAGGGAAAAAAUUUCAUCGGCAAUAGAAUAAUCGAUAGAAUUUCGAUACUUUGAGAAAAAAUUUAUUACUUAUUGAAUUUAGAUUAUUGAAGAGAAAGGACAAACAUAUUGGACUU